UCUUGUCUCUAUGAAUUUGAAUCUUUCUGUGUGGAUAUGGCAGAUCAUAAAUGGCGUCUACAGCGACUAGAGCGAAGGAAUGGUACCGAGAAAAGGUGAAGGCGGUUCCGUCGAGGAUUGCAUGGUCAUCAUGACCAUGCCAUCCGACAAGCCUGGUCCUUUGCCUGAAAAGUCCAUCACGCUGUCAUCUCUAAUGGCUCCAAGACUUGCACGU
rnacentral:sRNA from 1 species